GGACACCAGGAGGACACUGGGGGGACACCAUGGACACCAAGGGGGACACCAGGAGGACACUGGGGUGGAUGGUGACACCAGGGAGACGGGGACACCAGGUGGGAUGGGACCUCUGGGGGGACCUGGGGACACCAUGGACACCAGGGGGACAAUGGAGGGUCAAGGACACCAGGAGGACACUGGGGGACACCAUGGACACCAAGGGGGACACCAUGGGGACGGGGACACCAGGUGGGAUGGGACCUCUGGGGGGACCUGGGGACACCAUGGACACCAGGGAGACACUGGGGACACCGGAGGGUCGGGGACACCAGGAGGACACUGGGGGGACACCAUGGACACCAGGAGGACACCAGCAUGGAUGGUGACACCAGGGGGAUGGGACCUCUGGGGGAACCUGGGGACACCGGGGACACCAGGAGGACAUUGGAGGGACACCAUGGACACCAGGGGGACACGGGGGACACCAGGAGGACACUUUGGGGGAGACCAUGGACACGGGGAGGGGGGACCCUGGGGACACCGGGGGGGGGGGACCUGGGGCACCGCAGCCGAGCACCGGGAGGGGCCCAGGUGUCCGGGUCCAGCACCAUCUCCCCGCCGUCCUCCUCCAUCUCCCCCUCUCCCCUCCCAUCCCUCCUUCCUCCUCUCCCUCCCUCCCUCUCUUCCUCCCUCCCUCCAUCUCCCUCCAUCCCUCCCUCCUUCCUUCCCUGCCUCUCUCCAUCUCUCCUUCUCUGCCUCCGUCACUCCUGCCCUCCCUCUCCUCCUCCAUCCCUCCCUCCCUGCUCCUCCUCCAUCCCUUGCUUCCCUCCGUCGUUCCCUGCACAUCUCCCUCUCUCUGGGCACUUCUCCGUCUCUCCUUCCCUCCCUCCUUUCCUCCAUCCCUCCGUCCAUCUCUCCUCUCCCUUCCUCCAUCCUUCCAUCUCCUCAUCCCUCCUUCCAUCCCUCCCUCCCUCCAUCCCUCUUUCCAUCCCUCCCUCCUUCCAUCCCUCCUCUGCCUUCUUCCAUCCUUUCAUCCCUCCUUCCAUCCCUCCAUCCUUCUCUCCAUCCUCUCCUUCCAUCCCUCCUUUUCCCUUCCCUCCUCUCUUCCUCCAUGCUUUCACUCCUCCUUCCAUCUCUCCAUGCCUCCCUCCGCCACUCCCUCCAUCCCUCCCUCUGUCCCUCUUUCCGUCCCUCUCUCCUUUACUCCCUCCUUCUGUCCCUCCAUCUCCCCUCUCCCUCCAUCUCCUCUCUCUUCCUCCGUCCCUCCUUCCAUCCCUUUCUCCUUUACUCCCUCCUUCUGUCCCUCCAUCUCCCCUUUCCCUUCCUCCAUCCCUCCAUUCCUUCCUCCAUCCCUCUCUCCUUCCCUCCCUCCAUCUCCCCUCUCCCUUCCUCCCUGCUUCCAUCCCUCCUUCCAUCUCUCCCUGCUUCCCUCCCUCCAUCUCCCCUCCCUCCUCUCCCUUCCUCCCUCCCUGCUUCCAUCCAUCUCUCCCUCCCUCCAUCUCCCCCCAGCACACGCACACGCCAUCGCCCGCGCGGCCUCCGCACGCACACGCCCCGGCACGCUCCGGCACGCGCGCCGAGCGCCGCACACGCACAGUGUUGCACACGCACGCACACGCACGCACACACGUGCACACGCAUGCACACGCACCGAGUGUUGCACACGCAGCAGCCCCGGGCCGUGCACACGCGCUUCUGCACCGUGCACACGCGCUCGCAGCUGUGCGCGUGCACACUCAGCACUGCGCACUCACACUCAGCCCCAUGCACGCUCGGCCCCAGCCGGGCACACUCACACUCACCACCAGCUGGGCACACUCACACUCACCCCUGGACUGGUGCAUGCUCACCCCCAGCCGGGCACACUCACACUCACUUCAGUGGUGCACACUCACACUCACCCCUGGACUGGUGCAUGCUCACUCCCAGCUGUGCACACUCACACUCACUUCAGUGGUGCACACUCACACUCAUCCCCAGCCGUGCACACUCACACUCACCCCUGGACUGGUGCAUGCUCACCCCCAGCUGUGCACACUCACACUCACCACCAGCGAUGCACACUCGCACUCACCCCUGGAGUGUGCACAGGCACACUCAGCCCUGCAGCCGUGCACACUCACACUCACUUCAGCAGUGCACACUCACACUCACCUCUGGACUGGUGCACACUCAGCCCUGCAGCUGUGCUCACUCACACUCACCCCUGGACCCACGCACACUCAAACUCACCCCCAGACCUGUGCACACUCACACUCACCCCAGCUGUGCACACUCACCCCUGCAGCCAUGCACGCUCACACUCACCCCAGCCACACACACUCACACUCACCCUCAGCAGUGCACACUCACACUCACCCCUGGACCGGUGCAUGCUCAGCCCAGCCGUGCACACUCACUCUCACCCCCAGCGGUGCACACUCACCCCCAAGCAUGCACACUCACACUCACUCCAGCCAUGCACACUCACCCUCACCCCCAGCGGUGCACACUCACCCCCAGGCAUGCACACUCACACUCACCCCUGGACCCGUGCACAUUCACCCCCAGGCAUGCACACUCACACUCGCACUCACCCCAGCCAUGCACACUCACACUCAGCCCGGGCCCUUGCUCGUGGCCGUGCACGGGCACUCACACUCACUCCCGGCAGUGCACACUCACCCCCCAGCAAUGCACACUCACCCCCGGCAGUGCACACUCACCCCAGAGACAUGCAAACUUGCACUCACCGGAGGUGUCCUGCACACUCACCCCUGGCCGUGCACGCUCACACUCACUCCCGGCACCAUGCACACUCACCCCCGGCACCAUGCACACUCACUCUCGGCACCGUGCACACUCACUCCAAGCUGUGCACGCUCACACUCACUCCCGGCACCGUGCACACUCACUCCCGGCACCAUGCACACUCACACUCACUCCCGGCACCGUGCAC
ensembl:lncRNA